AUUGAACGCUGGCGGCAUGCUUUACACAUGCAAGUCGAACGGUAACAGGUUAAGCUGACGAGUGGCGAACGGGUGAGUAAUGCAUCGGAACGUGCCCGGUCGUGGGGGAUAACGCAGCGAAAGCUGCGCUAAUACCGCAUACGAUCUGAGGAUGAAAGCGGGGGACCGUAAGGCCUCGCGCGAUCGGAGCGGCCGAUGUCAGAUUAGGUAGUUGGUGGGGUAAAGGCUCACCAAGCCAACGAUCUGUAGCUGGUCUGAGAGGACGACCAGCCCACCUGGGACUGAGACACUGCCCAGACUCCUACGGGAGGCAGCAGUGGGGAAUUUUGGACAAUGGGCGAAAGCCGGAUCCAGCAAUGCCGCGUGCAGGAAGAAGGCCUUCGGGUUGUAAACUGCUUUUGUACGGAGCGAAAAGGUCUCCUCUAAUACAGGGGGCUCAUGACGGUACCGUAAGAAUAAGCACCGGCUAACUACGUGCCAGCAGCCGCCGUAA
rnacentral:rRNA from 1 species